UCGAUCAUGGCUCAGAUUGAAACGUUUGCGGGAUGCUUCACACAUGCAAGUCGAACGGCAGCACGGACUUCGGUCUGGUGGCGAGGGCGAACGGUGAGUAAUGACGGAACGCCUAGUAGGGAUAAUCACAGCGAAAGCUAUUACCGUGGCAUACAUGCCUCCUCGGGGAAAGCGGGGACCGGCUCUCCUGCACCAUUAGGAGCGGCCGAUACUGGAAUGACGCUAGUUGGUGGGGUAGCGGCUCACCAAGGCGACGAUCCGUAGCUGGUUUGAGAGGACGACCAGCCACACUGGGACCGAGACACGGCCCAGACUCCUAUUGUGGAGGCAGCAGGAAUUCGAUACCGGGGAAUCCCUGAUCCAGCCAUCCCGCGUGUGCGAUGAAGGCCUUCGGGUUGUAAAGCACUUUUGGCAGGUGAAGAAACGGCACGAGCAACACCCGUGCAACUGACGGUACCUGCAGAAUAAGCACCGGCUAACUACGUGCCAGCAGCCGCGGUAAUACGUAGGGUGCAAGCGCUAAUCGGAAUUACUGGGCGAAGCGUGCGCAGUGAAACUGGUAAGAAAGCAUGUGAAAUCCCAGAGCUUAACUUUGGAACCGUAUUUAAAUUACCGAGCUAGAGUGUGUCAGAGGGAGGUGGAAUUCCGCGUGUAGCAGUGAAAUGCGUAGAUAUGCGGAGGAACACCGACGGCGAAGGCAGCCUCCUGGGACAACACUGACGCCGGCGCAUCGAAAAGCGUGGAGCAAACAGGAUUAGAUACCCUGGUAGUCCACGCUCAAACGAUGUCAACUAGCUGUUGGGGCCUUCGGGCCUGUAGCGCAGCUAACGCGUGAAGUUGACCUCGCUCAGGGAGUACGGUCGCAAGAUUAAAAUCCUCAAAGGAAUUGACGGGGACCCGCACAAGCGGUGGAUGAUGUGGAUUAAUUCGGAUGCAACGCGAAAACCUUAUCUAGCCUUUGACAUGUCUGGAACCGAAGAGAUUUGGGAGUGCUCGCAGAGAACCGAAACACAGGUGCUGCAUGGCUGUCGUCAGCUCGUGUCGUGAGCGUUAGGGUCCCGCAACGAGCGCAACCUUAGCCAUUAGUUGCUACGGAAAGGGCACUCUAAUGAGACUGCCGGUGACAAACCGGAGGAAGGUGGGGAUGACGUCAGUGUCCAUGGCCCUUAUGGGUAGGGGUUUACCGGUCAUACAAUGGUCGGGACAGAGGGUCGCCAACCGCGAUGGGGAGCCGAAUCCCAGAACCCGAUCGUAGUCCGAUCGCAGUCUGCAACUCGACUGCGUGAAGUCGGAAUCGCUAGUAAUCGCGGAUCAGCAUGUCGCAGUGAAUACGUUCCUGGUCUUGUACACACUGCCCGUCACACCAUGGGAGUGGGUUUUACCAGAAGUAGUUAGCCUAAACGUAAGGAGGGCGAUUACCACGGUAGGAUUCAUGACCGGGGGUGAAGUCGUAACAAGGUAA
rnacentral:rRNA from 1 species